CAGAGACACGGAAGCACAUACAUAUACACACACAGCAAGUGAGAACAUGAUCUCAUGGUUAAUGUAUUUCCAUUCGUACAGUGGCGGCUGGUGGUUUUUAAAGUGAGGGAGGAAGGACUGCGUGCUUGGUUGCCAUUGGCCUGCUUGCACUGUUAGUGGGGUAUGGUGGCAUAAGUAUGUGAGACUCAUGUUGUUUCAGGGUGUUUUUUGGGGACUACAAAGUAGCAGGGAGGGAUAAUUAUCUGGUGGGCAGCAUGUCUUGGACUACAAGGGCAGAAGGAAAUGAU